rnacentral:rRNA from 1 species
UGGGAUAGUGGCGAACGGGUGAGUAUCACGUGAGAAACCUGCCCCGAAGAUGGGAAUAGCCCAAGGAAACCUGGAUUAAUACCCAAUAAUCUGUAAUCACCGCCUGGUGAACUCAGCAAACGCUCCGGCGCUUCGGGAGGGUCUCGCGGCCUAUCAGCUAGUUGGUGAGGUAAUGGCUCACCAAGGCAUCGACGGGUAGCUGGUCUGAGAGGACGAUCAGCCACACUGGGACUGAGACACGGCCCAGACUCCUACGGGAGGCAGCAGUGGGGAAUCUUGCGCAAUGGGCGAAAGCCUGACGCAGCAACGCCGCGUGGGGGAUGAAGGCUCUCGGGUCGUAAACCCCUUUCAGCAGGGACGAAAAUGACGGUACCUGCAGAAGAAGCGCCGGCCAACUACGUGCCAGCAGCCGCGGUAAUACGUAGGGCGCAAGCGUUGUCCGGAUUUAUUGGGCGUAAAGAGCUCGUAGGCGGUUUGGUAAGUCGGGUGUG